GUAGAGUGAAGGUGGCUGCUGGGGUCCGGGAACGAAGAUGGAAGAGAAAGUUAAGAUUUUAGCAUUCAUCGGAGCUGGAGCUCUAUUGGGUUCUGCUGCUACAAUUGCUAUCUCAAAGCUUCUUUCCGAUCCACUGCCAAUAAACAACCAAAGUGUUGGAAAAGGGUAUACAAGUGAGGCAGUACAAUCAAAUGGGCUUUCUGGAUCCAAAUGUAAUGGAUUGGCUACUCCAAACCCGUUGACUGAUGAAGUAGUUUCUGAACAACUGACCAGGAAUAUACAGUUUUUUGGCCUUGAAGCCCAACAGAAAGUGACUGCAUCAUAUGUUGUGGUAAUUGGUCUUGGAGGAGUUGGAAGU
rnacentral:misc_RNA from 1 species